rnacentral:rRNA from 1 species
UACAGAGGUCUCAAGCGUUGUUCGGAUUCAUUGGGCGUAAAGGGCGCGUAGGCUGCGGGGCAAGUCGGGUGUGAAAUCUCAGAGCUCAACUCUGAAACUGCACUCGAUACUGCUUUGCUUGAGGACUGGAGAGGAGAUUGGAAUUCACGGUGUAGCAGUGAAAUGCGUAGAUAUCGUGAGGAAGACCAGUGGCGAAGGCGGAUUUCUGGACAGUUCCUGACGCUGAGGCGCGAAGGCCAGGGGAGCAAACGGG